UACGUAGGGGGCAAGCGUUAUCCGGGUUUACUGGGUGUAAAGGGAGCGUAGACGGCAGAGCAAGUCUGAAGUGAAAGCCCGCGGCCCAACUGCGGGACUGCUUUGGAAACUGCCCGGCUAGAGUGCUGGAGAGGUAAGCGGAAUUCCUAGUGUAGCGGUGAAAUGCGUAGAUAUUAGGAGGAACACCAGUGGCGAAGGCGGCUUACUGGACAGUAACUGACGUUGAGGCUCGAAAGCGUGGGGAGCAAACAGG
rnacentral:rRNA from 1 species